rnacentral:rRNA from 1 species
ACUGCUCAGUAACACGUGGAUAACCUGCCCUUGGGUCCGGCAUAACCCCGGGAAACUGGGGAUAAUUCCGGAUAACGCACAUAUGCUGGAAUGCUUUAUGCGUAAAAUGGAUUCGUCUGCCCAAGGAUGGGUCUGCGGCCUAUCAGGUAGUAGUGGGUGUAAUGUACCUACUAGCCAACAACGGGUACGGGUUGUGAGAGCAAGAGCCCGGAGAUGGAUUCUGAGACAUGAAUCCAGGCCCUACGGGGCGCAGCAGGCGCGAAAACUUUACAAUGCGGGAAACCGUGAUAAGGGGACACCGAGUGCCAGCAUCAUAUGCUGGCUGUCCGGGUGUGUAAAAUACACCCGUUAGCAAGGGCCGGGCAAGACCGGUGCCAGCCGCCGCGGUAACACCGGCGGCCCGAGUGGUGAUCGUGAUUAUUGGGUCUAAAGGGUCCGUAGCCGGUUUGGUCAGUCCUCCGGGAAAUCUGACGGCUCAACCGUUAGGCUUUCGGGGGAUACUGCCAGGCUUGGAACCGGGAGAGGUAAGAGGUACUACAGGGGUAGGAGUGAAAUCUUGUAAUCCCUGUGAGACCACCUGUGGCGAAGGCGUCUUACCAGAACGGGUUCGACGGUGAGGGACGAAAGCUGGGGGCACGAACCGGAUUAGAUACCCGGGUAGUCCCAGCCGUAAACGAUGCUCGCUAGGUGUCAGGCAUGGCGCGACCGUGUCUGGUGCCGCAGGGAAGCCGUGAAGCGAGCCACCUGGGAAGUACGGCCGCAAGGCUGAAACUUAAAGGAAUUGGCGGGGGAG